ACAUGGCUUAGUGGUUAGGGGAUCUGCUUUUCAUGCAGAGGGUCCCAGGGUUCAAUCCCAGGUAUAUCUC